GAUUGGUCAGAAUUCCUUCGGGUGUUAGUUGGAUUGGUCAGAAUUUGUUCAGGUAUUGGUGGGAUUGGUCAGUAUUCCAUCAGGAAUGCGUGGGAUUGGUCAGAAUUCCUUCGGGUGUUAGUUGGAUUGGACAGAAUUUGUUCAGGUAUUGGUGGGAUUGGUCAGUAUUCCAUCAGGACUGGGUGAGAUUGGUCAGAAUUCCUUUGGGUGUUAGUUGGAUUGGUCAGAAUUUGUUCAGGUAUUGGUGGGAUUGGUCAGUAUUCCAUCAGGAAUGCGUGGGAUUGGUCAGAAUUCCUUCAGAACUGGGUGGGAUUGGUCAGAAUUCCUUCAGAACUGGGUGGGAUUGGUCAGAAUUCCUUCAGAACUGGAUAGGACUGGGCAGAAUUCCUUCAGGUGUG
ensembl:lncRNA